GUGGGCCAAUGGCGGAAGGGCAGGUGGGAGCACUGCCUGCCCCACAUCACAGACAGUGAAAAUACAUGAGGAAGUGAAUUAGGAGAGCUUUGAAUACUUGAGCUAGAUCCUGGUGGCAGGUGGGGUCACUGAAGGUCAUUGAGCACACCAGAUAGCGGGUCAGAGCUGCAUGCUACAAGCAGCCAAGCAGCAGAGUGGAGGGUAGAGUGGAGGAAGGAGGCCCAGUGAGGAAAGUAUUAAAAUCGUCUAGGCUGAAGAUAACUGGUUUGAAGUGGGGUGGAGAAGAGAGGAGCAAUGGAGACAGAACACUUGGCACUGUUCCUGAUGGAAGAUUAGUGAGGGAGGGGUCAGGGGUCAGAGGUCAGAGGUCUAGGUCCCCGGCUAGAAGAGGAGGAGCCGUGAAUGAAGCCUGGAAAGCUGAGGAGCUGGUCUGCUGGGUCGUGGAGAGCAUGUGUUCAGUCUUGUUUGAGGUUCCCAUAGGAGGCCUUCGAUAGCAAGAGACAGCCAUCCAGCCCAGAUCAGCUUCCACACAGCAAGGCCUGGGUUAGCCCACAGUGCAGAACGUCCCAGAGCAGGGGCUGUACACACAGCCAGGUCCAGGGGCUCACGGGAUGGCACUGGAAUCUCCUUGUCCCUUUGCCCUGCUCUGUUUUCUGUAUGUUGCUUUCGUCCUGAAGUGGGGUUCCCAGCCGGCACGGCAGCAAUGGUGGCCCAGCAGCUCACCCUCAUAGUCAAUGCUUUGGCAAACUCAGCUGUGAGUUCUAAUGGCAUCAGGAUUGAUUCAUUCUGGCUGGUCUGGGCCACGUGCCCAUCUCUGGGUCACAUGCCAUUUUUGGAGCAGUGGGCCACUCAGAUGUCCCUGAACUGCCUGGACAGAAAGUUGUCCAAGAGGAGAACUUGGGGUGGCUGCCAGGAGGAGAAAGAGAGAGUUUGCAGGGUCCACUACGGGCAUCCAGAUGGGGAUGCCUGUAGCUUAGGGCCGAAUUUGAGUCAUGUGGGAGCUGAAGCUCUAGGAAUGAAUGAGAUCACAAGUGGGAAGGGGUGUGUGUGUGGAGAGAGAGAGAGAGAGAGAGAGAGAGAGAGAGAGAGAGAGAGAGUUAGUUUCAGAAAAAGACACAAUAGACACCCUGGAGAACAAGUCAGAGGAUAGAUAGGAGGAUGAAAAGCUCAGAGAAGUGGUGAGAACAGUACUGCCUCAAAAAGGGGAGGCAGGGUGACCAAGCCCAUCAGGAUGGGGAGCAUGAAGACAAGCUGCAGGGUUUGUGACUUGCUGCCACCCACCCAGCAGGAGGGACGUGGAGGCAGAAACUCGGUGAAAGCAGCUGGGACACGAGUGGAGGUGAAGAUGUGAAGACAACGAGUUUGGCAGAGAAGGAAGGAGUGAGGGCCCCCAGAAGCAGCCACAUAUUCUCCUGUCCCUGGAGCCUUGGGCCACUGUCACAAUGGGUGUGUGCUUGACUGUGUGUGUGCCCUUCAUGUGCCCUACGGCAGGAUCAGUGACAAACGGAGGCCGGCACACACCAGAUGAACCUUCCGUAAGAGCCUUCCCUGCCCAACACCGCCCAUGGCCCCAGAGCUGGGAGAAUGAGCUUUAACCUCCGCCUCCCAAACCUGCCACAGCCCGCAGUGUCCUCUGACGGACCCUCGCUUACGUGACCAGCGCGGCCUCUUGGCAGAUCCUCCCAGGCCAGUCCUGCUGCUUCCACCGCAACCCCUCCUGGAGGCCUUCCCCAACCACCCUUGAAAGAUCACUCACCACUUGCCUCUUACCAUAUGCUGGAAUAUAUUUGUCAUUUUUUUUCUUUUU